UGGAGUCAAGUCGUUGAAAAAAUAUGGCUGGAAUUUUGGAGUAGUUAAGCAGUUUGGAACUACAGUUUGGAAUCAUAUUUAUUUAUACAGCACGUUAAAGUUAAAGUAUUUACAUAUGCAUCAGAGUCACAUGUAAAACGGGUUAUUAUCAGCAUCAACUCCCUGCCCUGAUAGCUGGUGCAUAUGUAAGUAAAUAUGUGCAUACAUAUUUGGUAAUCCAUUCUGCUGUUGUGUCGGUGAAUGUGUUAUGAAGUUUUGUUAAUCAGAGUCUUCUUCUAUUUUAUUAAUCUAAACAUUUUACAAGGUCAAGAUCAGUAUCGUUGCAUUGCGUGUGUAGCAUAUAACAAAGUAUUUGCAAAAAUUUGCAUGGUUUGCAUUUUUAUGCAUUAGUUUGCAUGUAUGGAGAGCUAAAUAUUCACAGUUGUAGAAGAGUUGCAAAUACAAAUUUUGUUGUAUGAUUUGAUUAUGAAGAUGAAAAAAAUAAGUAGUUUUGAUCGAAACACGAUUAAAAGUAGGAUGAAAAUGUCUCAAAUAGAAAUUUAUUUACUCGUUUGAUGGAGAAAACAAAACCUAUUUUUCUGAUGGAAUUGGACAUAUUUUAACUAAUUUUAUAUAGCUGAUUAAGAAAACGGGCCGAGUUGAUUUACAAAAAUGCUGAUUGGAGAAGAUUGCGUCCUAGGAAUAAGAAGAAGGGAAUCUACUUCUUGUAGUAAGCAAGACCACCGUAUCCGAGACCACC